rnacentral:rRNA from 1 species
UCGAGAAUCUUCGGCAAUGGACGCAAGUCUGACCGAGCGAUGCCGCGUGCGGGAUGAAGGCCUUCGGGUUGUAAACCGCUGUCAGUUGGGAGGAAGGCUCCGUGAAGAGCGGAGUUUGACCUAUCUUCAGAGGAAGUACGGGCUAAGUUCGUGCCAGCAGCCGCGGUAACACGAACCGUACGAACGUUAUUCGGAAUCAUUGGGCUUAAAGGGUGCGUAGGCGGCGCUGUAAGUCAGGUGUGAAAUCCCACGGCUCAACCGUGGAAUUGCGCCCGAUACUGCAGUGCUUGAGGGAGACAGAGGUAAGCGGAACUGAUGGUGGAGCGGUGAAAUGCGUUGAUAUCAUCAGGAACACCAGUGGCGAAAGCGGCUUACUGGGUCUCUUCUGACGCUGAGGCACGAAAGCUAGGGUAGCGAACGGGAUUAGAUACCCGCGUAGUCC